UACGGGGGGGGCAAGCGUUGUUCGGAAUUACUGGGCGUAAAGCGUGCGCAGGCGGUUUUGUAAGUCUGUCGUGAAAUCCCCGGGCUUAACCUGGGAAUGGCGAUGGAGACUGCAAGGCUAGAGUUUGGCAGAGGGGGGUAGAAUUCCACGUGUAGCAGUGAAAUGCGUAGAGAUGUGGAGGAACACCGAUGGCGAAGGCAGCCCCCUGGGUCAAAACUGACGCUCAUGCACGAAAGCGUGGGGAGCAAACAGG
rnacentral:rRNA from 1 species